UACGUAGGGCGCAAGCGUUGUCCGGAAUUAUUGGGCGUAAAGAGCUCGUAGGCGGCUUGUCACGUCGGGUGUGAAAGCCCGGGGCUUAACCCCGGGUCUGCAUUCGAUACGGGCUAGCUAGAGUGUGGUAGGGGAGAUCGGAAUUCCUGGUGUAGCGGUGAAAUGCGCAGAUAUCAGGAGGAACACCGGUGGCGAAGGCGGAUCUCUGGGCACUUACUGACGCUGAGGAGCGAAAGCGUGGGGAGCGAACAGG
rnacentral:rRNA from 1 species